CCUACGGGAGGCAGCAGUGGGGAAUAUUGCACAAUGGGGGAAACCCUGAUGCAGCGACGCCGCGUGAGUGAUGAAGUAAUUCGUUAUGUAAAGCUCUAUCAGCAGGGAAGAAAAUGACGGUACCUGAGUAAGAAGCCCCGGCUAACUACGUGCCAGCAGCCGCGGUAAUACGUAGGGGGCAAGCGUUAUCCGGAUUUACUGGGUGUAAAGGGAGCGUAGACGGCAAUGCAAGUCUGGAGUGAAAGGCGGGGGCGCAACCCCCGGACUGCUCUGGAAACUGUACGGCUGGAGUGCAGGAGAGGUAAGUGGAAUUCCUAGUGUAGCGGUGAAAUGCGUAGAUAUUAGGAAGAACACCAGUGGCGAAGGCAGCUUACUGGACUGUAACUGACGUUGAGGCUCGAAAGCGUGGGGAGCAAACAGGAUUAGAUACCCCGGUAGUC
rnacentral:rRNA from 1 species